rnacentral:rRNA from 2 species
CCCAAAAACUAGAAGGAACAACGCCGCGAGAGAGAAGAAGGUUUCGGCUCGUAUUUUCAAGAUAUCGGAGAAGAUAGGGGUAAGAGUCCCUGUUUACCUCCUGACGGUAUCCGACCAGAAAGCCACGGCUAACUACGUGCCAUCAGCCGCGGUAAUACGUAGGUGGCAAGCGUUGUCCGGAUUUAUUGGGCGUAAAGCGAGCGCAGGCGGUUUUUUAAGUCUGAUGUGAAAGCCUUCGGCUCAACCGAAGAAGUGCAUCGGAAACUGGGAAACUUGAGUGCAGAAGAGGACAGUGGAACUCCAUGUGUAGCGGUGGAUUAU